UUUUUUUUUUUUUUGGACUUUUGGCUUAUUCUUAAUUUGGUUAGAAGAAAUUGAAUAUCAUUAAUAAACCUGGAAAUUCUAAAUUCUAAUUGCAGAACAUGAAGCAUAGGGAAAACAGGGUAAGUGAAACAGAAUUAACCAGCUUUAAGUUAGUGGUAUUGGAGUUAUCUACAUAGUUCUCAGGUGGAGUCACUGAGCCAAUUGUACCAAAAAAUAAAGAGUAUGUGAAACAGAGUUGUCCUGUUUCAAAUAUAAACUACUGACAAAUUUUUUGGUUGAUUCUGUCCUUCUUCUCAAAUCAAUACAAUUUCGUUUUUUUUUUUUAAAUAUUAUUACAAAAAGAAUUAUGUUCAUAAUGAGAAAUGAACAAUUCAAGAAGGAUGAUAAGGUAUAUACUCAUGUUCAAUUGCAGGCGUGGUCCGAGUAACAGUUGCUGUAGGUGCCCUCACAUGGCCAACCAUUGACACUUGCAGAGCUUCCUCUUCGUAGGCUCUUCUCUCCAUCUCUUCCAUUCUUGCUUUCUUCUUUACCUUAACAAACAUUGCCACCAAAAGCAAGCCCAAUAGGAAUAUACCCAAGGCAGUCCCAACAGUGCUGCCCACCACCACUUUCCACGGGCUGAUCUUUUUUCUUGGCUGCCCUGGUGCUCCAACUGGUGGUGGAGGCGACUCGGUCACCAAACCGUAGUGGCCAUGCCUUUUGACUACACAAACAUGAUGAGACGCAGGGUUUUUCAGUGUCACCUUGCCAUCAUUUUCAAAACUAGCACAGAGUGGCCUAAUUCCUGAUUGGUUGGUUGUAUUGGUAAAGUCUAUAGUAAUUGGUUUUUCUCCAGCAUGGAUUCCAAGCUCAAAAGGGUUGCUAAAAUUCACAUCACUACCACCAUUAUAAGCUAAAAGGCCUAAAAUAGGUGACACAAGUUGAUAUCCUGAUAAAUCAUAGUUGGAAUAAUAUAUAGAAGACCAGUUAUGUCCUAAGUUUUGUCUAAUUACCAUCACUCUCUCUACACAUGGCUUCACAAUUACACCAAUACCCAAAUGGAAUUCCUUUACCUGAGCACCAUAUCUCCGAAGACUGCCACAUCGGAACCUUGCAGUAGCCACUUUGAUUCCAGAGAAGUUUGUAGGCAAAUGUACAGUGUGUAUUAUACCUGUCCUGACGUGUGUGUCAUAGGACUUGAACGUGUAAUCUCUAAUGACAAGAUCGAGAAGACGGGCAGACUUGAUCUUUUGAGCUUCAAUUCUGAUGGAUGCCAAGGAAAGCAGAAUUAUCAAGAAGAAAGAAAGGAGAGAGCCCAUGUGAGAAUGUGAGCUUGAUUUAAAAGGUGCUGGUCAGGACUAUGGUGUUGUUUCCUGUAAUUCUCUGGCGCUGGCACAUUAGAGGGAAAGGAAUUGAUUUCUAUGGAAAAUAUUUCCACUUAAGCUACUUCUCUUCCUGUGGAUAUGUAACAGGAAUGAAGUUGCAAAGAGGAAAGCCGAGACUGACUGGGGAAAUUUAUGAUGAGAAAAAGCAGCUUUUUGGUGGAUUAAAGAAGAAGAAAGUGAAAGGAAAGUUCCUGUCUUGUUUUCCAUAUAAUGGAGUACCCUUACACUAUAGUUGAAAUAUGGGUAAAUAUAUAGAAAUGAAAGAUAAUAAGGUUUCCAUAAUGUAUUUUGGCAAAGAAAAGCUUCAAGUAAUGCAUUUGAUUUAUACAUGACGUUAAAUUAGCAAGAUGAAAAAUGUAUUUGAAAAGCUUCUACCAUUGUUGGCAGGGAUAUCCACAU
rnacentral:misc_RNA from 1 species